UCCUACGGGAGGCAGCAGUGAGGAAUCUUGCGCAAUGGGCGAAAGCCUGACGCAGCCACGCCGCGUGCCGGAUGAAGGCCCUAUGGGUUGUAAACGGCUUUUAAGCAGGAAGAACGACCGGAUUUCGAUCUGGUGUGACGGUACUGCUUGAAUAAGCACCGGCUAACUCCGUGCCAGCAGCCGCGGUAAUACGGAGGGUGCAAGCGUUGUCCGGAAUCAUUGGGUGUAAAGGGUGCGUAGGCGGGCGUCUAAGUCUGGGGUGAAAUCUUGCCGCUUAACGGUAAAAUGGCCUUGGAUACUGGGCGUCUUGAGUGUAGAAGAGGUAAGUGGAAUUCGUAGUGUAGCGGUGAAAUGCAUAGAUAUUACGAAGAACAUCAGUGGCGAAGGCGGCUUACUGGUCUACAACUGACGCUGAGGCACGAAAGCGUGGGGAGCGAACAGGAUUAGAUACCCUGGUAGUCCACGCUGUAAACGAUGCAUACUAGGUGUUGGCCUUUCGGGGCCAGUGCUGCAGUUAACGCAUUAAGUAUGCCACCUGGGAAGUACGUCGGCAACGAUGAAACUCAAAUGAAUUGACGG
rnacentral:rRNA from 1 species